rnacentral:rRNA from 1 species
AACGAACGCUGGCGGCAGGCCUAACACAUGCAAGUCGAGCGCCCCGCAAGGGGAGCGGCGGACGGGUGAGUAACGCGUGGGAACGUGCCCUUUGCUACGGAAUAGCCCCGGGAAACUGGGAGUAAUACCGUAUAAGCCCUACGGGGGAAAGAUUUAUCGGCAAAGGAUCGGCCCGCGUUGGAUUAGGUAGUUGGUGGGGUAAUGGCCUACCAAGCCGACGAUCCAUAGCUGGUUUGAGAGGAUGAUCAGCCACACUGGGACUGAGACACGGCCCAGACUCCUACGGGAGGCAGCAGGGGGGAAUCUUAGACAAUGGGCGCAAGCCUGAUCUAGCCAUGCCGCGUGAGCGAUGAAGGCCUUAGGGUUGUAAAGCUCCUUCGUGGGGGAAGAUAAUGACUGUACCCCAAGAAGAAGCCCCGGCUAACUCCGUGCCAGCCGCCGCGGUAAUAC